ensembl:lncRNA
AAACCUUAGAAAAAUCUGUUUUGGUAGUAAAACAGCUGGCACAAAUUUAUGGUGGUCUGAAACUCUGAAACAAUACAAUGACAAGCACAGACUGAGGGACAGUCGAAAUUGGACUAUUCGUUUCAGAUAAUUUGAAUGCAAGUGGACUGGACUUGUUCAGUCAUGUGCAAAUUUAUUCUCAUAACUAGCAGCCCAUUUGUGACAGUAUCUCAGCUGUAAGUGCAUUUGCUAGCAUAAAAACUAGAGACUUCUCUGUAAAAUUAUCAACUAAGAAAUGAAAUGCUUGCUUAUGGAUGAUAGUUUUUUUUUUCCCUGCUGUUUGCAAUCUGGCCAUGUACAAGAACAGAAGCAGAUGAAGACACUGAACGUUUUAAACUGAAAUAUAAAUCAAAGUUAAACAAAAUGAUAAGUACAUUCCAGAGCUGUGACAAAAUUCCAGAAGACUCUGUUGCUGACAAUGUUGUAAGCAAUAAUACUGAUAUCUGGCCCCUGUGGCAACAUAUAAUGUCAAGUAAAAUGGUACUAGGGAGCAUUUGCAGACAUUGAACCCAAUUGGUGCAAAAAGGCCAGAAUCUGUAUUAUUAAAUCCUCCUCGCUUCUGAGAAAGGGUCCCACUUAGCCAGGGAUGGCCUCAAACCCCUGAGAAGUGCCAAGGGAUGGUCUGAGAGAUUUUGUUUUUUUUUAAUCUAGGCAGAGUAUCUGCUAGAAAGCAUAUUAAAAACUGAGAAAUAUGAUGUUUAGAGUACUUCCUGGCAUGGCCCAAUUUACUAGUGCAGGCAUUGCACUAGUACAGGCAUAUAUAUAUGCAGGCUGGACUUUUGAGCAAACUUUUAGCAAGGGACUCAAAUUUGGCCCUGAUUUUUACAUCAGAAAUUAAGCAUUGGUCAAUUAAGUGUCAGUCUGGGGCAUUUUCCAGAACUGUAUUGCCCACAGUAACAUUAAUAAUUUAACAUUUAUGCUACAGUAUGAUUCUGGAAGGUUAAUGUUUUGUUUUCCUCAAAGCUAAGCAAACUCAUAAUCAGAGACAGCUUUUCUAUUGAAGAUGUUGCAGUUUUUCACUAAAGAAACUGAAAGUCAUCAACUUCAACUAUGAAAGGAUAUGAUGAUUAUUGUCCUUAAUUAUAGCAUGUUCUGUACUUAUGAGACACAAACUAUGAGUGCAUGGAGAGAACCAUAUAAGAUACAUCUCUGAUUUUCAAAAAUAAAAUAAUAAAGUAAAAUGAAUACAAUAAAAUAAUAACUCUGGCAAUGACAUUUCAUAUUAAGAUGUACGAUUAGGUCCCCUAUCUGGAAGAAUGUGCACAAUGUGCAACGUUUUUACCUGCAGUUGCACUGCUAAAUGACUUGAUUUCAAAAAAUAUUUCAUAAAUAUCAGAGACAGAAAAAGAGAGAACUGAAAGUAUUUUCUAUUUUUAUGUUGUGCAAGUAAAAAUUAUUUUCAUGAACAGGAUUUCUUUUCUAAGAACAAGUUUCUCUCAUGGCAGUAUCACAGGAGGACAGUCCUAGUGAGUGAUGCCUGUACUUUGCCAACUUAUCACUGCGUAUUCUGCAGAUGAAAGCACAGGCAUUGAAGAUUUGCAUAUUUUCCCAAGCUGUUCCUCCAGACUGAGAUUUUCCCAUCAGUAUUUACUUAGUGUCAUGAAGGAGUAAACCCUUCUAUCCACAUCAGGGUUACAGAUGCAUUUUGAAAUACUCAACAAGCAUGAAAAUUAAAUUAUACUUUUAUUUAACACUGACUUUCAGUACAUUAUUGUUCAGUCUUAAGGAGAAGAGAUAUUCUUUAAAUCUUUAAGGAAUUUCCAGGUACAUUUUAAAGGUAUCAAGUAAUUUUUUCUUUCUAUGCCCUUUCCACCCAGUAGAGUUACAGAUCAAGGGAGAGUCAGAAGGACAGAUAAAUGAGAAUGCCUUUAUGUGAACAGCGAUUAUAAGAGAGGGAGAGCACUCUUUUGGAGGCAAAAGCCACCCUUGAAAGAGAUCCAGGUGCUUUUCUACUAGGGAGUCUUGAGCACCUUCAUGCCUCUUCUGUGGAAUUUUGCUCAAGACACACUAAUCAUCGGAAGUGUGAGUAAAGACAGGGCUUAUCUCAUACCUGAUGCUAAU